rnacentral:sRNA from 1 species
GCAGCCUUUCCAUGGCCCAUGCUGAAGUACAGUGGUGCUGUUACUGCUCACUGCAGCCUCUACCUCCCAGGCUCAAGUGGUUCUCUCAGCCCAGCCUCCUGAGUAGCUGGGACCACAGGCAUGCAGCGUGACACCUGGCUAAUUUUUUAAUUCUUUUGUAGAGACAGGAGUCUCUCUAUGUUGUCCAGGCUGGUCUCAAACUCCUAAGCUCAAUCAGUCCUCCCACCUCGCCCUCCCAAGAUGCUGGGAUCACAGGCGGGAGUCGCCGCGCCUGGCCUAACUUGCUUUUUUUUCUAUUAUGAAUGUAGUAACACAAGCGGGAGAGGGAAUUUAGAAAUGGAACCCGAGUCGGGGGGAGAAGGUGGCAGCUCCCAUUCUUGGGGCAUUUCCGUGGCCUGUCUGGGCCAUAGCUGCCCCGUGGUGACCUCUCCACUUGCGACUGUUUGUCCACUGCCUGGCAGGGGUGGGACCUGGCUGCACGGAUGAGACGCUGCUGUCGGCCAUCGCCAGCGCCCUGCACACUAGCACCAUGCCCAUCACGGGACAGCUCUCGGCCGCCGUGGAGAAGAACCCUGGCGUGUGGCUCAACACCACGCAGCCCCUGUGCAAAGCCUUCAUGGUGACCGACGAGGACAUCAGGAAGCAGGAAGAGCUGGUGCAGCAGGUGCGGAAGCGCCUGGAGGAGGCGCUGAUGGCCGACAUGCUGGCGCACGUGGAGGAGCUGGCCCGUGAC